rnacentral:misc_RNA from 1 species
ACGAGUUAGGGUCCUCCGGGGCCCGACCUCCCACCCUUUGUUGUCGCGAAUUCGUUGCCUCGGCGGGACGGCCGCCCCGGGUCCAACCCGGGGAUGCCACCGGGUAUCCCCCUCGCGGGGUCCCGGCCAGCGCCCGCCGCGGGACCAUUCCAACUCUUGUCUUUGACCGUACAGUCCGAGCAAAAACAUUUUUGAAUAAAUCA